AUUGAACGCUGGCGGCAGGCCUAACACAUGCAAGUCGAACGGUAACAGGAAGAAGCUUGCUUCUUUGCUGACGAGUGGCGGGCGGGUGAGUAAUGUCUGGGAAACUGCCUGAUGGAGGGGGAUAACUACUGGAAACGGUAGCUAAUACCGUAUAACGUCGCAAGACCAAAGAGGGGGACCUUCGGGCCUCUUGCCAUCGGAUGUGCCCAGAUGGGAUUAGCUAGUAGGUGGGGUAACGGCUCACCUAGGCGACGAUCCCUAGCUGGUCUGAGAGGAUGACCAGCCACACUGGAACUGAGACACGGUCCAGACUCCUACGGGAGGCAGCAGUGGGGAAUAUUGCACAAUGGGCGCAAGCCUGAUGGAGCCAUGCCGCGUGUAUGAAGAAGGCCUUCGGGUUGUAAAGUACUGUCAGCGGGGAGGAAGGGAGUAAAGUUAAUACCUUUACUCAUUGACGUUACCCGCAGAAGAAGCACCGGCUAACUCCGUG
rnacentral:rRNA from 1 species